GUAGUUGUGUUCUUGUCUCUUUGAAGUCAUUAUGUUUCUUUUUAGUCUGUUUUAAACUCUUUGUAGUGUAUUGAGUCUCGUUGUAGUCAUUUUGUCUCUCCUUGUGGACGUUUUGAGGAUCAGAGUGUCUUUUUGUAGUGGUUUUGCAUCUCUUUAGAGUAGUUGUCUUUACUAUUUAUUUUUGAGCUUUUGUUUCCAGGGAUGCUGGAACAUUUGGCCAGUUCAAUAAUCCAUCCCCGGACUCUGUCUGACGUGUCUGCACUCUGGUGUCUCCAUGUAUUUGCUGAUACACAGACAUUAAACUCACCGUUUCAUUGCCGGCAGCAUCGUGUGGACGAGACGAGCCUUUGAAUCUUCCUGCAAGUUCAGCCACCGAGCGCCGGGACGGAGCCUCCUCCUGAGGGAAGGACGGGAGAGACGAGUCUGCUGUUGUCUCUGUGGCUCUGUGCUGCCACCUGCUGGUUAACCGUCUGCCUCCUUCUGGAAGAUUUCCCGAGCAGCUGACAGGUGAACAUCAAACUGUGAAAAUAAAUUAAAGAAAGCGAC